GUGAACGCUGGCGGCGUGCUUAACACAUGCAAGUCGAACGGAAAGGCCCUGCUUGCAGGGUACUCGAGUGGCGAACGGGUGAGUAACACGUGGGUGAUCUGCCCUGCACUUCGGGAUAAGCCUGGGAAACUGGGUCUAAUACCGGAUAGGAGCCAUUUUUAGUGUGAUGGUUGGAAAGUUUUUUCGGUGUAGGAUGAGCUCGCGGCCUAUCAGCUUGUUGGUGGGGUAAUGGCCUACCAAGGCGGCGACGGGUAGCCGGCCUGAGAGGGUGGACGGCCACAUUGGGACUGAGAUACGGCCCAGACUCCUACGGGAGGCAGCAGUGGGGAAUAUUGCACAAUGGGCGCAAGCCUGAUGCAGCGACGCCGCGUGGGGGAUGACGGCCUUCGGGUUGUAAACUCCUUUCGCUAGGGACGAAGCUUUUUGUGACGGUACCUAGAUAAGAAGCACCGGCUAACUACGUGCCAGCAGCCGCGGUAAUACGUAGGGUGCGAGCGUUGUCCGGAAUUACUGGGCGUAAAGGGCUCGUAGGUGGUUUGUCGCGUCGUCUGUGAAAUUCCGGGGCUUAACUCCGGGCGUGCAGGCGAUACGGGCAUAACUUGAGUACUGUAGGGGUAACUGGAAUUCCUGGUGUAGCGGUGAAAUGCGCAGAUAUCAGGAGGAACACCGAUGGCGAAGGCAGGUUACUGGGCAGUUACUGACGCUGAGGAGCGAAAGCAUGGGUAGCGAACAGGAUUAGAUACCCUGGUAGUCCAUGCCGUAAACGGUGGGCGCUAGGUGUGAGGGUCUUUUCACGACUUUCGUGCCGUAGCUAACGCAUUAAGCGCCCCGCCUGGGGAGUACGACCGCAAGGUUGAAACUCAAAGGAAUUGACGGGGACCCGCACAAGCGGUGGAGCAUGUGGUUUAAUUCGAAGCAACGCGAAGAACCUUACCAAAUCUUGACAUCCUUUGACAACUCUAGAGAUAGAGCCUUCCCCUUCGGGGGACAAAGUGACAGGUGGUGCAUGGUUGUCGUCAGCUCGUGUCGUGAGAUGUUGGGUUAAGUCCCGCAACGAGCGCAACCCUUAAGCUUAGUUGCCAUCAUUAAGUUGGGCACUCUAAGUUGACUGCCGGUGACAAACCGGAGGAAGGUGGGGAUGACGUCAAAUCAUCAUGCCCCUUAUGAUUUGGGCUACACACGUGCUACAAUGGACAAUACAAAGGGCAGCGAAACCGCGAGGUCAAGCAAAUCCCAUAAAGUUGUUCUCAGUUCGGAUUGUAGUCUGCAACUCGACUACAUGAAGCUGGAAUCGCUAGUAAUCGUAGAUCAGCAUGCUACGGUGAAUGCGUUCCCGGGUCU
rnacentral:rRNA from 1 species